UUUUGAUUCUGUUUCUCCCUGUUUUGAGGCCAAAACAGCAAAAUUGAAAGGAAACAGAUAUGGUUGAAAUAGCGUCAAAACACAAUGAGGCAAGUCGAAAUGUUUCGCCGUUUUGACGGUGUUUCGACGUUUUGCCCAUAGGCUAUAAU